CGGUGGAGCAUGUGGAUUAAUUCGACGCAACGCGGAGAACCUUACCUGGGCUCGAAAUGCUAUGGACAGUCCGUGAAAGCGUCUCCCAACCGUGAUAGGUGUGACGAGCGCAACCCUUGUCCUGUGUUGGCAUGGGGAUGUCAAGUCUCAUGGCCUUUAUGUCCAGGCUACAUACAUGGGCGGUACAAGCGCUGCGAAGCCGCAAGGUGGAGCCUCGCAGAAAGCCGCUCUCAGUUCGGAUUGCAGUGCAACUCGCCUGCAUGAAGCUGGAAUCGCUAGUAAUGCAUAUCAGAACGAUAGCGUGAAUACGUUCCCGGGCCUUGUGCGCACCGCCGUCACAUCACGGAAGUGGAUUGUACUAGAAGUCUGCGCGCUAACCCGCAAGGGAGGCAGCGGCCCAAGUAUGAUUCAUGAUUGGGGUGAAGUCGUACAAGGU
rnacentral:rRNA from 1 species